rnacentral:rRNA from 1 species
AAAACUUUCAACAACGGAUCUCUUGUUUCUGGCAUAGAUGAAGAACGCAGCGAAAUGCGAUAAGUAAUGUGAAUUGCAGAAUUCAGUGAAUCAUCUGAUCUUUGAACGCACAUUGCGCCCCUUGGUAUUCCGGGGGGCAUGCCUGUUCGAGCGUCAUUA